CCUAGCGCUGUCAGUCGCGCGUCCGCUCGCUCCGCAGUCUCUCUCAUUUUCACAAGUACUUUCUGAUUUUCCGGCUGCUCGAUUUUCCGUGGUCGUUCCGAGGAGUCACCCUUGCACCAGAGGAUGCCACUUGGCCGAAGCAGGACAUAACGGCACUGACUGCACGACACCAUGACGCAGCCACGAGCAGAUUGGACAGUUAUUGCAUUCUAGCUGCUGGCUGGUCUAUGAGGUACGACGUCCCCCGUCAGAUAUACUAACCUCCACGAUGUGCCUGAACGUGUCUCAGUAUCCAGAAGACUGCCGAGAGCUAAGCCCCUUAUACUCCGAGACACUCAGGGAUGAGCGCGCGAGAGAAUCCGGGAACGUACGACUACCAUCUGCACGGUAAAUCAGCAAACCUAACCUAUCAGCCAGUCAAGUGAUAUUAUUAACGUCCGACGCACAGCAGACGCCACUACACCGUGCAGUCUGACUGUCUGCGUCAAUCUGCCAAUUGUGAGGUUAGAACAUCCAUACGCCUCGUGCCGUCCCGUUAUUCACGCUAUGGUCGCGCAUCUCUGAUAUAGUCGCAUAAGGGACAACUCCAUACCGCAUAUAGAUAUAUGCAUGUUAUGACUAUUAAGUACGCACACCGGCAGCCAUCUUUAUUAAUACCGACUGUAGGUCCGGACGAUUUGUCAGUAGGCUUCUAAUAACGAAGUAAAGUCUGGCGUGAGCGGUUGAAACAAAUAGUCGCAAGUAAGAAGGAUUCCUGAAGAAUAGAAGUCUCUAACAAAUGGCAUUCCCAAGAAGAUGGGCACGCGGCACGCGCCAUUGCGAUCUUUCAAGCGACCGGACCGACUUAAUAAACUCUAAAGACGAAUGGAGUCUUCGCGACCGGAAACUCAUCUCCAAGAGUCUAUAGAAGCUAACGUUUUCAAACCAGAAGAACGAAUGUGCCGAUAACCAACAGACUCCGGCGUAGUAGGUGACGAGCUCAUCCCCUGGAGAACCGAUUCAUUACCGAUCCUGAAUAAGUGAUUCCUAGGACAUCGACGAUCCAUAUCCCUCGGCUCUUCGGGAAAGUGAUUAUUCGGGCGUUCGUGUCCUUUCGCGAAAUCGAUCCCAAAGGACCUUUGACCUCUCUCGCCGUAUAUCUCCUUUAGAUUGCAUCAUUGAUGAGAUAA